AGUCUCUUGCUUGUUAAUCUGUUCUAGUCUGAUAGCUGACAUUUUUCACAAUUAUUUCUAGGCUCUCUGUUUAACUUGGGUCAAACUAAAAUGGAGCAUCUAAACCAUCUUUUGAUUAUUCUGUUCUAUACUGUUUUAAUCGGUUCUACUGGCUCCAAUGCAGUUUCCUCAAUCCCCAUAACCACUACUCCUACUCCUACCACCACAACCUCAACUACAACCUCAACUACAACCCCCACAACCACUACUCCUACUCCUACCACCCCCACAACCACUACUCCUACUCCUACCACCCCCACCCCCACAACCACUACUCCUACC